rfam:Rattus norvegicus chromosome 1, whole genome shotgun sequence.
ACCGCUGAGCCAUCUCUCCAGCCUGUGGCAACUUUUUAAAUGAAAAAUAACACUCUUGGGCUGGAGAGAUGGCUCAGUGGU